UGGGUCUUUUGUUGUUUCUAUGGUUACCCUCCUUUUAGCACUGGCUUUGAUUUCUACCGGAAUCAUCUUGGGUUUACGGUGAGACUAGAGUGAUGGGGUGUUUGUUUCCAGGUCCUGCUGCACCCUCAGCUUCCAGCCUUCCAUGGGUGAACCUUCUUUGCCACUCUGGGCCUCCCCCUCCUGGCCCACAGCUCUACUUCUUGCUCCAAGUUUGCUGGUCAAGACGUGGGGGCUUGGAUAAUGGAUCCAACGUGACCAAGGAGUGACUCAUCCUUCUGCCUACUCCAUGCCCACACCCAUCCAGCUGAAUGCGGCUGGGGGAAAAUAAAUAGACCUUAGGUAGCUCUGAAA